rnacentral:rRNA from 1 species
CAGGCCUAACACAUGCAAGUCGAGCGCCGGGGGUGUUCCCUUACGGGAAACCCCCUGGAGCGGCGGACGGGUGAGUAACACGUAGGCAACCUGCCUGUAAGAUCGGGAUAACUACCGGAAACGGUAGCUAAGACCGGAUAGCUGGUUUCUCCGCAUGGAGGGAUCAUGAAACAUGGGGCAACCUAUGGCUUACGGAUGGGCCUGCGGCGCAUUAGCUAGUUGGUGGGGUAAUGGCCCACCAAGGCGACGAUGCGUAGCCGACCUGAGAGGGUGAUCGGCCACACUGGGACUGAGACACGGCCCAGACUCCUACGGGAGGCAGCAGUAGGGAAUCUUCCGCAAUGGGCGCAAGCCUGACGGAGCAACGCCGCGUGAGUGAUGAAGGUUUUCGGAUCGUAAAGCUCUGUUGCCAAGGAAGAACGCCUCGGAGAGUAACUGCUCUGAGGGUGACGGUACUUGAGAAGAAAGCCCCGGCUAACUACGUGCCAGCAGCCGCGGUAAUACGUAGGGGGCAAGCGUUGUCCGGAAUUAUUGGGCGUAAAGCGCGCGCAGGCGGUCUUUUAAGUUUGGUGUUUAAGCCCGGGGCUCAACCCCGGUUCGCACUGAAAACUGGGAGACUUGAGUGCAGGAGAGGAAAGCGGAAUUCCACGUGUAGCGGUGAAAUGCGUAGAGAUGUGGAGGAACACCAGUGGCGAAGGCGGCUUUCUGGACUGUAACUGACGCUGAGGCGCGAAAGCGUGGGGAGCAAAC